GAUGAACGCUGGCGGCAUGCCUAAUACAUGCAAGUCGAACGAGAGGAAGGAAAGCUUGCUUUUCUGAAUCUAGUGGCGAACGGGUGAGUAACACGUAGGUAACCUGCCCAUGUGCCCGGGAUAACUUCUGGAACCGGAUGCUAAAACCGGAUAGGUAGCAGACAAGCAUUUGACUGCUAUUAAAGUGGCUAAGGCCAUGAACAUGGAUGGACCUGCGGUGCAUUAGCUAGUUGGUGAGGUAACGGCCCACCAAGGGGACGAUGCAUAGCCGGCCUGAGAGGGCGGACGGCCACAUUGGGACUGAGACACGGCCCAAACUCCUACGGGAGGCAGCAGUAGGGAAUUUUCGUCAAUGGGGGGAACCCUGAACGAGCAAUGCCGCGUGAGUGAAGAAGGUCUUCGGAUCGUAAAGCUCUGUUGUAAGAGAAAAACGACAUUCAUAGGGAAUGAUGAGUGAGUGAUGGUAUCUUACCAGAAAGUCACGGCUAACUACGUGCCAGCAGCCGCAGUAA
rnacentral:rRNA from 1 species